rnacentral:rRNA from 1 species
AUUGAACGCUGGCGGCGUGCCUAACACAUGCAAGUCGAGCGGUAACAGGUGUAGCAAUACAUGCUGACGAGCGGCGGACGGGUGAGUAACGCUUGGGAAUCUGCCUGUUAGUGGGGGACAACCCGGGGAAACUCGGGCUAAUACCGCAUACGCACUACGGUGGAAAGCCGGGGACCGCAAGGCCUGGCGCUAACAGAUGAGCCCAAGUCGGAUUAGCUAGUUGGUAGGGUAACGGCCACCAAGGCGACGAUCCGUAACUGGUCUGAGAGGACGACCAGUCACACCGGAACUGAGACACGGUCCGGACUCCUACGGGAGGCAGCAGUGGGGAAUAUUGGACAAUGGGCGAAAGCCUGAUCCAGCGACGCGCGUGGUGAAGAAGCCUGCGG